CUUGCAUGGCGACACAGAGGGGAGGUCACGAUGGAGAGACGCAGAGAGUAAAAAGGAACAAGGCAGGGAGAACUGAUAGGAGCAUCUGAGAGGAUAACUGCUUGUUUGCUCACUCUUGUCUUCUUGCUCCCCCUCCUGUCCAUUCACUUCCACUCACAGCACAAACGCUCAGACGGCUUAUACUGUAGGAAGGCACAGCGCUCUGAGGGAUGGAUAAAAAGGUUCCCACGUGAAAGGCAUGAAUCCACGGUAGAGGAGGAGGGUGAGAUAGAGAGAGAGAGAGAGAGAGAGAGAGAGAGAAAUCACAGAGAAGAGGAGAAAGAGGUGAGGAGGAGAGGGAAGGGAGACAAGAGAGGACCAGAUGGACUCCACACAGAGGAGAGGAAACAGUGCAAAGCUCACCGAGCAGCAGUGACAGAGAGGUGGGAAUAAAAGCAAACAUGAACGUCUGUGGGAUUGAAUAAUGGGAGAAGGAGAUGUGAGGGAACAGCGAAGAAGAAGAGGAGCGAGCAUUUGUGGGAGAAAGAAACAACACAGAGGGGGAACAGGAGAGAGAGAGAGAGAGAGAUGUGGAGCUCAUGGUGUCUUCAGCCACGAGGACACACUAAGAAAGGACCUGCAAAAGAAAUAAAUUGAGGCAACGUGGAAUAAAAACAAAGGGAACGGACAGCGAACAAAGGAAAUGUAUAAGAGUCAGGACAUUAUGGGGAAGCAUGUAUGUCCAUCACAUACUUUGACCAUCCAAUCUCCUGAAGACCCAACAGACAAAGCAGGUAGAGAAGGAGGGGCUGCCAAGUAGUCAAGCCAACGUGAUGGGCACAGAUGGGAUGGACAGGUUGCAUUCCCUUCCUCCACGCUCAUUUGCUGGUAACUUCCCUGGCCUUGUCAAGAGUUCACCUCCCUGCAAAGUUAAAGAGAAAUGGUAAUAACAAGCAAAAGUGCUCAACUUCAAAGGAAAUGGAGCAGUAUGGACACUACUCCCACGUUCACUUGAAAGAAUAUUUGAUGCUGCAUAUAUUUAUUUUUGAUGGAAGUGUAAUAGUGAAGAACCAUUAGUUUAUUUGGGUAGCAUUCUUCACAGCAAUCUAUAAAUUUUUUUUUAUUUCAUGUGUUUAGUAUUGAACUGUGAAUAUGGUCAUCCAUUAUUUCUUGAGGGCAAUCUCAGUUGCAAAAGAAGUCCUUGGAGUAUGGAUCUGAGACAUAUAAAGACACAGUUAUAUUGCCAGUUUGCUAUUUGCUGAAACUGGUUCUCAGUCAAUUGUACAGAUCUCCCACUGUUGUAAAAGGAGAGGUCACUUUCCUUGUCGAUGCACUAACACAUCUAGGCUUUCAUUCAAUCAAACUACCUGCAGAGCCUGUGGAUGUUGGGGGCGAGAGAGCUACAAGAGAAAUGGUGAGCAAAGAGCCCAACCACCUGCUUACAGGCCAAACAAACGGCAAGAGCACAUUGGCAGACAAGUUGCCUGGGACAAUGACUGUGCGCUCAGUAUUGCUCAAUCGAGACUCACCAGAUAUUGAGAGCCGCCUCAAGCGCCGCCGCAACCGUACCCACCAGGUCCGCUUCAAAGACCUGGAAGAUGGCAGCAGCAGCAGUGGCAACAGUGGAACAGGAGAAAAUAAUAGCCAUCAAAAGCAUGCCAUAGACUGUGGCAGCCCACAUCCUCUUCGUAAACACAGCAGCAAAUCCAAACAACCAUGGAUGGCCAGGGACAGCCCACAGACCGAUGGUCUCCCUGGUCAAACCUCCGUGGUGGGAGCUGUGCGUGGGGACAUGGCAAGCACCAUAGAAGUGGUGGCCGCUUUUUUAGCCAGGGCCCCUCCUCAUCCACUGACACCGGGUCCAACUCGUCGAUGCUGGGCUCCACCACAGACUAACUCCUUAACCUUGCCAAUGACACGCAGGCCCUGUACAAGCACCAGCACAGCCAUCCAGACAUCCCCAUGCCUGAAAAAGCCCCAGUCCCUCUCCUCCACCCACACACGAAGCCACAGCCUCGGGGACUCAGUUGGAGUAGAUGGGGACGAUGAGCAUGACUCUCAAGAUGAGUACCUUACACACAAUGUGAAGCUGCCUGGGUCCAGGGACCAGAAUGGUCCACCUUGUCCUGCAGAUAGAACUGUUGUGGAACGACGGUCUAAAGCCUCCAGGACAGACAUUAAAUCAAAUGUUAGUGUGGUAAAAAACUCAAGGCACAGCUGCCCUCCUUCAGUCCUUCACAGCACGGAGUCAUGUCACUGUUCCUCUGUAUCUGUGCGUGAUGGGUCCAAGCGGCAGGGAAGCAGCACUCCCUCAUUGGUAAGGAGGAGAAAGCGGCUAAAUAGGACAACAAGUGAUCCUGGAAAGGAGGUGCAGUACUGCACCACUCCAACUCAGACUGAAACCCCCAGUCUGUUACCACCACUUUCAAAUACCAAACGCUGCACCUCUCAAGUUCAAACUGAGAGCCCUUCUUCAUCUCAAAAUUCAAAGUAUUGCACCACCCAAAGUCAAACAGAGAAUCAACAUCAGCCUCUACCUGUGAGUGAAAAACGAUGCACAACCCCAAUUCAAAUCACCAACCCUUGUCCAGCCCUCCCUUCCAGUGUUGAGCAGUGCACCACUCAAAUACAAACAGACACUCCCUGUCACUCACCUCCGGAUAAACAACCCUCAACCACCCAGACACACACUCACAGCCCCCGUGCUUCUCCACCACUGACCGUAUCACCCACCUCAGUGCAAAUUCAAUCUGAGAGCCCUGUAUCCCCAACUGCAACUCAAGACCCUCAUACAACCCAAAUAACGAGUGUGCCUUACUCUACUUCUCCCCUGCCUACAGGUGCACCACCACAGACUCCUGAACACCACUCUACGCCUCCCCCCUCCUCCCCAGCCAAGUCAGUUUGCAGGACCUCUCCUCUGCCCAUUGUACUGUCUGUUCCUUGCUCCACUUCUCCACCUAUUAUAAGCCAACACCCUAUCCCCCAAUAUGCUGUGUCAACAACAACCUCUUGCACAGCUGUUGUCUCCACUCCUACACCUCCAUGCCCCACUCAAAACUGCACCUCUUCUAUCCCAAACAUAGAAUCAUCCACUCCUCUAAUUUGUUCUACCCCUACCCCAACUAAAACCACAAAUAUAACUACAUUUGACUCUAUCAGACAUCUAACCACUGCCCCAAAUGUAACUUAUCAAGCUUCACACAGUGCACCAAACACCACGCCGCCUUCAAAUCUAACUCCCUGCACAUUUGUAACUCAGACUGCCAUGUCUUGCACCUCCAUUUCAUAUUAUACUACCACACAUCCAGCUGGUCCCCAUGCUCCUCAGCCAAAUUGUGUUUCACCUUCUUAUGCGACUUUCGUGCAAACUGUAUCCCAUUGCAACAUACCACGUCAAGUCCUGCAGAAUACCUCCUCUGUCAACCCAGGCAUUACCCCCUACUCUGCCCAAGUCCCAAAGUCUUGCACUUCUCCACCGCUACUUGUGAAAACGUAUACAUCAAAUCUUCCAAAUGGACAAGUGUGUGCCACACCAACUAAAGCUGUUCCUUUAUACUCUUCCACAUUUCGUGCUGCACCACCCUACACCCCCCCCUCUCAGGCCUCCUUUAAUGCUCAGGAUAAGAGGGGCAUUCGACUUCCACCUCCUCCCCCACCACCACCACCCUACACACCUCGUAAAAAUGGAACUGAUCCACAAGGUCCUGCAAUUCGAACACCCAAGCUCAGGGCAGACAGCAAGGCCAAUGAAAAAGAGAAAGACAGUGAGAAGGAGAAAAAGGAAGAUGUAAAAUGUACAGACUCACCCAAGCUCUGUGAGCCAGCCAGCUCUCUAAAGCACAGAGCUCAAACCCCGCCAAUUCCUGUGAUUAGGGGGGAGAAGCAGCCUUCCUCAUCCUCUCCUGCCAAGGCCUGUUUUAAGCCCAGCUGUCUCAGCUCAGCUCAAGCUCAGCUCGGGGCACUACAUAAAAUGCUCUGCUCAGGAGCCAGUCCCAGGCCCAACACUCCCAACAGUCAGCACCCUCUUCCUCCAAACCAACAGAGUUGCUCUGGAGCCAAGGGUUGCUCCGCUUCUGGGGACCAGUGUACAGCUGGGCCCUUGACUUCCACCCAGGCUGACACACUAAGACAGGUCCAGGAAAUUCUGGGAGGGUUGGUGUCUGGGGCCAGGUGUAAACUGGACCCCGCCAGAGUGACAGAAAAGCUCCUGAGUCCCAAUGGGCCCCUGCAUGAUAUUCGAAGCUUGCAGAACCAGCUCCACAGCUUGGAGGGGGUCCUGGAGACCAGCCAGAACACCAUUAAGGUCCUGCUGGAUGUGAUUCAAGACCUUGAGAAGAAGGAAGCUGAGAGAGAUGGAAAGUUGACUGACACUGUGACAACUCUCCAGAAUUUGAAGAACUCAUCUCUACCAAGCUGCUGUUCAACUCAUCGAACUCAUCGGUAGCUGAAUAAACGUGCCAAUGCAGUUUUGUUAUUGACUGCAGGGAAGUUUUCCAAGCCGUUAAGGACUGACACUUAAAAAUCACGGCCCAAAGUUAGCAUCUUGGACGGCUCAUUGCACACAAUGUAGACACAGAGCAACCACAUUAUAACAGUCUGAUUGUAAAGUAAAAGUGUAGUCUUGGCUGAACGUAUAUGGGGAAACAUAUACAGGAUCACUAAUAUUGUUCCUUGCACCACAUGUCCAAGGUGGUGUUCAAAGGUAGCAUAACAAUAAGUGUGAAAUGUUGCAUAGCCCUGGGGUAAAUCACGGGUUUUUAGUUCAAAAGUAGCGGGAAAGUACUGGUCUAAAAAAGGAGCUAUUCCACAUUAGAAGAUUUAAAUAAACACUGAUAGAUAGAUAGAUAGAUAGAUAGAUAGAUGUUUCAUUCCUAGACAAUUAAUUUAUUGAGUAAGAUUCAGACUCUCUUUAUAAUCUUUGCUGCAGCUUGUCUAUUUAUAGUCAAUCCCGGGAUUGUGAGCAUCAUAAAUCUAGAGUGGUGACAAUGAGAGGGAAAAGGAGAUGCAAAUGGACAGUUUGGACUGAGAUAAGACAUGGGAUAGUUAUUUUUAUGUAGUCUCUAGUCAGUCCCACAAGUCUCACCUUUCUGUAUGCUUAAAAAUCUAUGUCACGUCAUACCACAGUGAGACUUUUGGGAGACUGGCUGCACUGACUGUACAGUACUUGCUCUUGUGUUUAUACCCAGCAGGCAGGUAGAGAUAGAAAUCAGCAUAUGACUGUCAUCAUGUUGGUGGAUUCAGACGCUCCAUGCCUCUUAGUGUAAAGCUUCUCUGUUCUCAUCAAGUCUUUAAUCAAUGUGCUUCCUACAUCGUAAGCUGCUUAGUAAUUUCUCCCACCUCAUCACUCCAAAAUAGUCCAUGAUGUGGAUACAAGAAAACAGCAGCUAACAACAGUCACAGAGAGAUGCAUCUAGGCUUGACUGAAAUCAGAACAGUUAAAACCAAAUCCCCCUAGUUAAACUAUACUUCGCCAACAUUAGAUCGUGUGCAUUGCAUGGACCUCUGUCUCACGAAGUGAUAACUUGCGUGCCAAGAAAUGCACGAUGGGAAUAAGGCUAAUGCAUGCAGACACGACUUUUACCUCAUAAGCAUUAUUUUAUGCCUGAAGUGAUAUGGUGACUCAUGGUUUACGUAACAGCCUGUUGGAAGGGGUAGAGUUCAUUAAAAAUGAUUAUGGGGGUCAUUGCAGAGAGGAGAUUGGUAUGUUUGCAGGGACUUGUGUGGCAGUGGUUCGGUUCAACAAGGGAGAAGAUACUCCAACUGUGUCUCUGUGGGCUGGCACACACACACACACACUCACACACAACAUCACUCUUUUACCCCUGAUAUGUCAUUUAUGUGCUUUUCAACAGAAGAAAUUCAUACAGAACCGGACAGGACAUUGAAAACUGCGGGACCUGCAGGGACUGUGCCUGCAUCAUCUACAGCGUAGAGCACGACUUUCGCCUGCAGGAAGGGCAGGUCGUACGCACAUGGAAGGUGGGCGACCCUCCGGAGGCCUC